AUGCUGGAGAACUACAGUUGCCUUGUCUGGAUCCUUCCUCUUGCCCAUGAACCCACCUGGAGGAGUCAAGCCCAGCAUGGAUGCCAGAGUGCCAAAGGUGAAAAGCAGGAAAGCCAAAAUACUCAUCAAGACCAAAGGGGGAGCACAGAGCCAGAAGCUGGGAGGAGAAAGGGAGUCAAGAAAGUCAAUGCCAGGAACUGCUAUGCUACCUGAGGCACAUGGUACCCUGUAAACCUGAAGAGAUGCUCAGUGAGGCACUGCUUCCUGCAUGAGACACUAUAGUAACCCAAGGCCCGAUCACCCUCAGGUUGAGGAUAGCCUGCACUGUAAGUCUCGCCCAGUAAUGGUGGCUGUGGAAAGGCUCCUGUGUACAGCUACCCAUUCCAUAAGGGUUAAUUGGGGCAUAGUGGCUAACACCUUCU
rnacentral:lncRNA from 1 species